rnacentral:rRNA from 1 species
UACGGAGGGUGCAAACGUUGCUCGGAAUCUUGGGGCGAAAGCGCACGUAGGCGGCCCUGACAAGUCGGGGUGUGAAACGCCCUGGGCUCAACCCAGGAAGUGCACUCGAAACUGCCAGGCUUGAAUAUGGAAGAGGGUCGCGGAAUUCCCGGUGUAGAGGUGAAAUUCGUAGAUAUCGGGAGGAACACCAGUGGCGAAGGCGGCGCCUGGGCCAAUAUUGACGCUGAGGUGCGAAAGCGUGGGGAGCAAACAGG